rnacentral:rRNA from 1 species
GGAGGGGGCUAGCGUUUUUCGGAAUUACUGGGCGUAAAGCGCACGUAGGCGGCUUUGUAAGUCAGAGGUGAAAGCCUGGAGCUCAACUCCAGAACUGCCUUUGAGACUGCAUCGCUUGAAUCCAGGAGAGGUCAGUGGAAUUCCGAGUGUAGAGGUGAAAUUCGUAGAUAUUCGGAAGAACGCCAGUGGCGAAGGCGGCUGACUGGACUGGUAUUGACGCUGAGGUGCGAAAGCGUGGGGAGCAAA